AACGAACGCUGGCGGCAGGCCUAACACAUGCAAGUCGAGCGGACAUCUUCGGAUGUUAGCGGCGGACGGGUGAGUAACGCGUGGGAACGUGCCCUUUGCUUCGGAAUAGCCUCGGGAAACUGGGAGUAAUACCGGAUGUACCCGUUGGGGGAAAGAUUUAUCGGCAAAGGAUCGGCCCGCGUUGGAUUAGGUAGUUGGUGGGGUAAUGGCCUACCAAGCCGACGAUCCAUAGCUGGUUUGAGAGGAUGAUCAGCCACACUGGGACUGAGACACGGCCCAGACUCCUACGGGAGGCAGCAGUGGGGAAUCUUAGACAAUGGGGGAAACCCUGAUCUAGCCAUGCCGCGUGAGCGAUGAAGGCCUUAGGGUUGUAAAGCUCUUUCACCGGGGAAGAUAAUGACGGUACCCGGAGAAGAAGCCCCGGCUAACUCCGUG
rnacentral:rRNA from 1 species